AAAACAUUGUAUCUUCUAAGUAUACGGGAAAGUGUGUUGUGUUUCUAGGUAUAUAUUAAAUUUUUGGAUGGGCGUUUUCGCUUCGUCGUAGUUUAUUUCACUUAAAUCCUUCGGCAGGAAUAAAAGAACCAUUGGAAUAGUUGAUUCAAAGUGCCUUCCGGAUAAAACAAAGAUGGUACGAGUUCAGUUUAGAGGUUCUCAAAGCAGGUCGUAAUGUUCAUUUUUAUAUUAGUUAAACUGUAUUUUCAUAAUAACUAAGAAAUGCUAAACCAAUAAUGUCACUUUUCCAAUCGAUCGAAUUUAUGUUUCUACAAUAAUUUUAGGAUUGCAGACUAAAAUUACUUUGCCGGUGUAAGAAUUUUAAGUUGUUGAUACUUCGAUUUCAUUUUAAGAAUUAACUUCUCUUAAUUCAGUUCAGGAACCAGUUAAAACUUGAGCUUUCUAAGUACUCGCAAUGUGAUCAAAAUUUAGAUUCACCAUUUUAUUUGGAGACAAAAUGGUGGCAUAUUUUCACAAUUGGCUCUGAAGUUAAGAACCUUUCUUCAAUGCAACUAAAUGCAAAAUUGAGCAAUAUUUUUUUUAUUUAGAUGCCCUUUGACCAAUGUGGCAUUAGAAUAAUGGACACUGUUAUGCAAUAAAUUUAAGCUUAUUAGAAAUUGUAAAAGUUUCUCCCUUCUUCCCUUACUAAUUUCAUAAAAUACUUACAGACAAUUUUGUAACUUUACCGCUAAUCUACUUUUAUUUUUAAAAUUAUUUUUAAUACUGUCUAGUAAGAAUGUUACUAGUCUAGACAGUACUUGUAAAAACAAAUUUUCAAGAAGAAAUAGGGUUGCAAGGAAACUUGUUUUGACUCUUUCUCGAGUAAUAAAAUGAAAGUUAGUGUGUAUUAUGCCAACAAGAAAUUUAUUUGAAUUAUUUAAGCAAUGACGAUAAGAAAUUUUGUUUUCAUUUUAAAAGUAUGCAAAUUGCAAAAACAUAUCUACUUUUAUUUUUAAAGUUAUUUUUAAUACUGUCUAGUAAGAAUGUUACUAGUCUAGACAGUACUUGUAAAACAAAGGUUCUAGAAGAAAUAGGGUUGCAAGGAAACUUGUUUUGACUCUUUCUCUAGUAAUAAAAUGAAAGUUAGUGUGUAUAUGCGAACAAGAAAUUUAUCUGAAUAAUUUAAGCAAUGACAAUAAGAAAUUUUGUUUCAUUUUAAAAGUAUGCAAAUUGCAAAAACAUAUCUACUUUUAUUUUUAAAAUUAUUUUUAAUACUGUCGAGUAAGAAUGUUACUAGUCUAGACAGUACUUGUAAAAACAAAUUUUCAAGAAGAAAGAGGGUUGCAAGGAAACUUGUUUUGACUCUCUCUCGAGUAAUAAAAUGAAAGUUAGUGUGUAUUAUGCCAACAAGAAAUUUAUCUGAAUUAUUUAAGCAAUGACGAUAAGAAAUUUUGUUUCAUUUUAAAAGUAUGCAAAUUGCAAAAACAUAUCUACUUUUAUUUUUAAAAUUAUUUUUAAUACUGUCUAGUAAGAAUGUUACUAGUCUAGACAGUACUUGUAAAAAUAAAUUUUCAAGAAGAAAGAGGGUUGCAAGGAAACUUGUUUUGACUCUCUCUCGAGUAAUAAAAUGAAAAUUAGUGUGUAUUAUGCCAACAGGAAAUUUAUCUGAAUUAUUUAAGCAAUGACGAUACGAAAUUUUGUUUCAUUUUAAAAGUAUGCAAAUUGCAAAAACAUAUCUACUUUUAUUUUUAAUACUGUCUAGUAAGAAUGUUACUAGUCUAGACAGUACUUGUUAAAACAAAGGUUCAAGAAGAAAUAAGGUUGCAAGGAAACUUGUUUUGACUCUUUCUCUAGUAAUAAAAUGAAAGUUAGUGUGUAUAUGCGAACAAGAAAUUUAUCUGAAUAAUUUAAGCAAUGACGAUAAGAAAUUUUGUUUCAUUUUAAAAGUAUGCAAAUUGCAAAAACAUAUCUACUUUUAUUUUUAAAAUUAUUUUUAAUACUGUCUAGUAAGAAUGUUGCUAGUCUAGACAGUAC